UAUGGAAAGAGUUUGAUGGGGUACUAAUGUUGCAUCUUUGAAGAAAUGUGUACUCAAAGAAUUACUCAUGUAGAAUCUCACCGUGCUGCCAUCUGGGACAUCAAGUUCAUUUGUGAAACCAUGCUUCCUCUCAGCAUCAUAAGAAGAUCACUACAGAAGCAGAUCACCACACUUAGCUAGUGGCAAGGAGACCGACCUGAGAGAGACUGCUGGAAUAAAUUUGGAAUUGGGUGAGAAAAGGAUGCUAGG
rnacentral:lncRNA from 1 species